GCCUAGUUAGCUUGGUUGGUAGCGCGUCUGCCUUGUAAAUACUAGUCCGCGGGUUCGAUUCCCGCCCGAGGUG
rnacentral:tRNA from 1 species